GCCGGGAAGUGCAAAACAAAAAUACAAAAUCUGAAACACUUUUACAAAUAUUGAAACAAAUUUACAUUUCAGAAAACAACUUUACAAAACACGAAACACUUUUACAAAACUUGAAACAAAUUUACAUUUCAGAAAACACAUUUACAAAAGACAAAAUGAAACGGAAAGGGAGGGACUGUCUUCGAAGUUUACCCAGAAGUGAUAACGGGAGCCUUCAUGAUUAACCAAGAUGGACGCCAAUCGAGUUGCGUUUUACCCGUUUUUCGGCACACAGAUGACCAGAUUAACGCGUUUUUGUUUUUCGUGUGGUCGGUCCUUGGAGUUUUUAAAUUCCACAGAACAGACGAAAGAACCAGAUAUGCUGCAGCAGUGCAUACAUUAUUUUAAUGAGGGUCACUCAUACGCUGUAAUCGUAAACAUGUCAUGCUUACACGGUAUACACGGUGUAAAUUUGAAGAAACCACCGAAGCGACCGUAUGCUUUUUGUUUUCAUUUUGUGGACAAAAGACCGACAGAUGACCCACGACGCCAGAAAAGUGGCUGGGCUACGAAGUUCCAUUAAAAACUAAAUCAAGGAGACAAAGAGGAAACAGAUGACAGCCGCUCUGAUGCAGAGGCUGACCAGAUCGCUCCAUAAUCAGAGUCACCUAUGAAGAAAUAUGCUGAUACUACAGGCACCGAAGGAUCACACCUAGGAGAAAAGAAGAAGAAGAAAAAUAUAUGUGGCAGGGAACACGCUGGCUUCCAGGAGUAUCUUCGUCUUGGCAAUGAAGUGACGGCAGACAGAAGCUUUACCGUUGAAGAUCUGCUGUUUGAGAGCAGAUUUAACCUUGUUCUACCCGUAUUCACUUAUAAAGGAGAACAGUCCUCUGAUGAGGAUGUAACUGCCACAAGGAUUGCAAAUGUCCACGUACAUGUGGAAAAAGUUAUCGGGAGGCUCAAAGUUUUCACAAUAAUCUCCCAGACUGUAACUAUCAACUUGGUUUAUAAAAUAGACCAAGUCUUUAGAAUCUGUGCAGCUCCUGUGAGCAUGCAGGGGGAAUCAUACGUGAGGAAGCAGAGAAGUUUACAUGUCAAAAAGAUCCUGAUUAGUUAUAUUCUACUGUAAACCAGAGGAAUUAUUAUACACAAGAAUGUGUUUUGAAUUUCUGCUUUUAAAUGUUUCUUUAUUUAGCACCUUGAGGUUUUACAUUUUGGAAUUACUUUUCAUUUUUAAUAACUUUAAUCAUUGUAUAUCCAUAUUUCCAGACUAUUUAAAUGUUUACUUAUACAAAAAUUGUGUCCAACUAACAUGUGUAUUAUUAAAUUUUGCAAUCCAUUU